AUUCAAAUAACUUAUAUUAGAGUAUAACAUUGAAGAUGUUAAGGAGAUUACAUAAUCUUUGAAUA
rnacentral:tRNA from 1 species